rnacentral:hammerhead_ribozyme from 1 species
AUCCAGUGGCGGGUCCCAAAUAGGACGAAAUGCGCAUCGUGGAU